rnacentral:pre_miRNA from 1 species
ACGUAGUGUAGCAUGUCCGUAUGUGGAAUUACUCUGAUGUUGAAUUAUUUGUUAUUUAAUUACUUUUGGGUAACGGGGUGUUACAAUUUCG